AAAGCCUUGAUUACGUACCAAUCGU
rnacentral:siRNA from 1 species